rnacentral:rRNA from 1 species
GACGGAGGGCGCGAGCGUUGUUCGGAAUCACUGGGCGUAAAGCGCGCGCAGGCGGGUGUGCAAGUCGGAAGUGAAAUCCCGGGGCUCAACUCCGGGGCUGCUUCCGAAACUGCGGACCUGGAGACCAGUAGGGGUUGGUGGAAUUCCCGGUGUAGCGGUGGAAUGCGUAGAUAUCGGGAAGAACACCGGUGGCGAAGGCGGCCAACUGGGCUGGAUCUGACGCUGAGGCGCGAAAGCGUGGGGAGCAAACAGGAUUAGAAACCCUGUAGUCC